CUACUAUGUUCAGAGUUUGAUCCUGGCUCAGAACGAACGCUGGCGGCAGGCCUAACACAUGCAAGUCGAGCGAGAUCUUCGGAUCUAGCGGCGGACGGGUGAGUAACGCGUGGGAAUAUGCCCUUUGGUACGGAAUAGCCUCGGGAAACUGAGAGUAAUACCGUAUGUGCCCUUCGGGGGAAAGAUUUAUCGCCAAAGGAUUAGCCCGCGUUGGAUUAGGUAGUUGGUGGGGUAAUGGCCUACCAAGCCUACGAUCCAUAGCUGGUUUGAGAGGAUGAUCAGCCACACUGGGACUGAGACACGGCCCAG
rnacentral:rRNA from 1 species